UACGAAGGGGGCUAGCGUUGCUCGGAAUCACUGGGCGUAAAGCGCACGUAGGCGGAUUCUUAAGUCAGGGGUGAAAUCCUGGAGCUCAACUCCAGAACUGCCUUUGAUACUGAGGGUCUUGAGUUCGGGGAGAGGUGAGUGGAACUGCGAGUGUAGAGGUGAAAUUCGUAGAUAUUCGCAAGAACACCAGUGGCGAAGGCGGCUCACUGGCCCGAUACUGACGCUGAGGUGGCGAAAAG
rnacentral:rRNA from 1 species